rnacentral:rRNA from 1 species
UAAUAGCUCACUGGUCGAGUCGGCCUGCGCGGAAGAUGUAACGGGGCUAAACCAUGCACCGAAGCUGCGGCAGCGACACUGUGUGUUGUUGGGUAGGGGAGCGUUCUGUAAGCCGUUGAAGGUGUGUCGUGAGGCAUGCUGGAGGUAUCAGAAGUGCGAAUGCUGACAUAAGUAACGAUAAAGCGGGUGAAAAGCCCGCUCGCCGGAAGACCAAGGGUUCCUGUCCAACGUUAAUCGGGGCAGGGUGAGUCGACCCCUAAGGCGAGGCCGAAAGGCGUAGUCGAUGGGAAACGGGUUAAUAUUCCCGUACUUGGUGUUACUGCGAAGGGGGGACGGAGAAGGCUAUGUUGGCCGGGCGACGGUAGUCCCGGUUUAAGCGUGUAGGUGUGUGUUCCAGGUAAAUCCGGUUCACUUUAACACUGAGGCGUGAUGACGAGGCACCACGGUGCUGAAGCAACAAAUGCCCUGCUUCCAGGAAAAGCCUCUAAGCAUCAGGUAACAUCAAAUCGUACCCCAAACCGACACAGGUGGUCAGGUAGAGAAUACCAAGGCGCUUGAGAGAACUCGGGUGAAGGAACUAGGCAAAAUGGUGCCGUAACUUCGGGAGAAGGCACGCUGACAC